GAGGACCCCGAUGGCGGCGCCGGGUGGCGGGAAGGAGGAAGUUUCAAAGCCAGCUUGACGUGGUUGUGGCCGUUGGGCGAGAUGAAGCUACACUGUGAGGUGGAGGUGAUCAGCCGGCACUUGCCCGCCUUGGGGCUUAGGAACCGGGGCAAGGGCGUCCGAGCCGUGUUGAGCCUCUGUCAGCAGACUUCCAGGAGUCAGCCGCCGGUCCGAGCCUUCCUGCUCAUCUCCACCCUGAAGGACAAGCGCGGGACCCGCUAUGAGCUAAGGGAGAACAUUGAGCAAUUCUUCACCAAAUUUGUAGAUGAGGGGAAAGCCACUGUUCGGUUAAAGGAGCCUCCUGUGGAUAUCUGUCUAAGUAAGAUGGAGUCUCAUUCUGUCACCCAGGUUGGAGUGCAGUGGGAAGAGCUUGGUUCACUGCAACCCACAGGCCAUUUCCAGCAGUUUAAAAGGUUUCCUUUCAGCUAUGAGACUGGCUCAUAGAGGCUGUAAUGUUGAUACACCAGUUUCAACGCUCACACCAGUGAAGACUUCAGAAUUUGAAAACUUUAAAACUAAAAUGGUUAUCACAUCCAAAAAAGACUAUCCUCUAAGUAAGAAUUUUCCAUAUUCCUUGGAACAUCUUCAGACUUCUUACUGUGGGCUUGUCCGAGUUGAUAUGCGUAUGCUUUGCUUAAAAAGCCUUAGGAAAUUAGACUUGAGUCACAACCAUAUAAAAAAGCUUCCAGCUACAAUUGGAGACCUCAUACACCUUCAAGAACUUAACCUGAAUGACAAUCACUUGGAGUCAUUUAGUGUAGCCUUGUGUCAUUCUACACUCCAGAAGUCACUUCGGAGUUUGGACCUCAGCAAGAACAAAAUCAAGGCACUCCCUGUGCAGUUUUGCCAGCUCCAGGAACUUAAGAAUUUAAAACUUGACGAUAAUGAAUUGAUUCAAUUUCCUUGCAAGAUAGGACAACUAAUAAACCUUCGCUUUUUGUCAGCAGCUCGAAAUAAGCUUCCAUUUUUGCCUAGUGAAUUUAGAAAUUUAUCCCUUGAAUACUUGGAUCUUUUUGGAAAUACUUUUGAACAACCAAAAGUCCUUCCAGUAAUAAAGCUGCAAGCACCAUUAACUUUAUUGGAAUCUUCUGCACGAACCAUAUUACAUAAUAGAACCAUCUAUCCGAAAGAGAUUAAUGUAAACAUGUGGGAGACACUCCCUGGCAGAGUUUUUUAAAAAAUGGUUACUUAAGCAACAGAUUAAUAAGUCUUUUUAUGAAAAAUUUAAAAAUUGCAAAUAGGGCCAUCCUAGAUCCCGUACCAAAGGAUUCCAUAUGGCUCUCAUAUCAUUCCAUUCCAUCUCUGCCAAGAUUUGGAUACCGCAAAAAUUUGUGUUUGUGGAAGAUUCUGUCUGAACUCUUUCAUUCAAGGAACUACUACCAUGAAUCUGCAUUCUGUUGCCCACACUGUGGUCUUAGUAGAUAAUUUGGGUGGUACUGAAGCACCUAUUAUCUCUUAUUUCUGUUCUCUAGGCUGUUAUGUUAAUUCCUCUGAUAUGUUAAAGUAAUGGGUGAGACCAGAAAAAGAAAUUUCAAUAACAGAUCAGUUUGGGGUGCAUGUAUGAUUUUGCAGCGUCAAAUUGGAGUAAGGGAAGAUUUCUGUAUACUUGCUGGAGAGGAGGAAUGUGUAUAGUUACUCAUUUAGAUGACUCCAAAACUUUUAUUAAAACCAAUUUUAGUUUUA